CCUACGGGAGGCAGCAGUGAGGAAUAUUGGUCAAUGGGCGCGACCCUGAUCCAGCCAAGUAGCGUGAAGGAUGACUGCCCUACGUGUUGUAAACUUCUUUUAUAAAGGAAUAAAGUGAGGCACGUGUGCCUUUUUGUAUGUACUUUAUGAAUAAGGAUCGGCUAACUACGUGCCAGCAGCCGCGGUAAUACGGAGGAACCGAGCGUUAUCCGGAUUUAUUGGGUUUAAAGGGAGCGUAGAUGGGUUGUUAAGUCAGUUGUGAAAGUUUGCGGCUCAACCGUAAAAUUGCAAUUGAUACUGGCAGUCUUGAGUACAGUUGAGGUAGGCGGAAUUCGUGGUGUAGCGGUGAAAUGCGUAGAUAUCACGAAGAACUCCGAUUGCGAAGGCAGCUUACUAAACUGCCACUGACAUUGAUGCUCGAAAGUGUGGGUAGCAAACAGGAUUAGAUACCCUUGUAGUC
rnacentral:rRNA from 1 species